rnacentral:lncRNA from 1 species
AUUUAACUAGUUGAUCACUUUGGGUUUGUAAACAUCUUUGCUUUCUUAUUUCUUUUGCUAAUGGAUUUUAGUUGCUUAGUAAUUUAAAUAGUUACCUGCAGAUUCUUACCUUCAGAGCCCUUAGUGACACACUGAGUAGCACUUUUUUUCCAGUGAAACUAAUACCAGUUGUUUUAGAAGAGGCUACAGUACAACAUACAGCUUCAGCUAUGGGAUAAACACAUUGUCUGACUUCUUGUUAGCAGCAUUUUUCAUAGUAGGAAUUGAUCGUGACCUUUAGCAUUCUACAUUUAGUAAUUCUGUACAUCUGCUAAUGUAGAGGGACCACAACAGGGAAUAAAUUUCCCUUUCUUAUCUGUUACCUUUUAAAAGUUAUUCCAGUUACCAUUUAAUGUUUCUUUCUCCUUUCUAAAGAAAAUUUUCUAACAGAAAACAUACUUUACUGUCCCUUUUCUAUCAAAUUUUAACAGAUAUGCUUAAGGCUCAAAAAUUUUGAUGAAUGGUUUAUAUAAAUGUGUUUGUGUGAUUGACCACAAGCUACAUAUCUAAUUUUUUGUUUCCAGUAUUGUCUCUGCAUAAACAUGCUUAUGAGUUUUGAUGCUUGCAAACAUCUGCACAAUGGAGAAUAGGAAAGUGGGAGUACACAUCUUGUUCCUAACCUGUCUAGGAGAGAUUUCUGUACAAUAGGGAAGACAACAGCGUGGAUCAAGGAAAGAGUAGGCAAGUGAAAAUGUCUCACUGUCUCGCCCUGCAGACUUAACAUUUAUUAUCUUUUCUCAGUUAGGACAUUAGAUCCAUUAAGGAUUGGUCCUGUUGAAAGCUACUGC